rnacentral:lncRNA from 1 species
CCAAAGAUGAUUUAAUAUCCCGAUCCUUGAGGCAUUGACAGAAAAUAACUCAAUCUCACUAAGCUUCGCUGGCGAGAAAAAUCUCACAGUGGUCCUGCAAACAUAAAUCAAAAGUUCUCAGCAAAUUAUGAAAUAAUAUAUUGAAAUAGAAACAGAAGCUUACUUAGCAAGAUCAACCAAGGGGGUGGAGAUUCAACAUUAUUAUCCAGAAAGCUUGCUCGUUUCAAUAGCUCUCCCUGUCAAGAAUUUACAGUAUGAUAAUGAUAACUACAUUUUUGCUACGCUAUAAUUAAAUGCUGGUUAUCAAUAUGAACAGGAAGACAUUGUUGUAUGAAUCUUAAAUUUAAAUAUGCUAUGACUAUACACGGAGGGGUGGGGCAGCAUCAACAUAGAAAGCUCCAUUUCGGUUGAAANGAACAUAUACAAUUACAUGAUGAAUAAUAUAUGUAAUGAAAUGUGUCACAAACUAUAAUUCUAAAGUUCCCUUCAACACAGCCUUGAGAGUAUGCACCAAGCCAAGCAAAAUGCACUCAUACAAAUCAUCCUUGCACGGAUAAAAAUGAAUUAUAUACCACAAAAUAUGUAACCAUUGCGGCAGAAAUCAUGCUCGGACAUGGAUAAUGAACUACUUUAACCUAAACAGCCUCCAUUGUAAUAAUCACAGAAAUUGAAAGCUAGAAUAAAAGUCCAAACAAACACUAGAGGUCACAAGUUCAGCA